GGAAUUUUGCGCAAUGGGCGCAAGCCUGAUGCAGCGACGCCGCGUGGGGGAUGAAUGCCUUCGGGUUGUAAACCCCUUUCAGGAGGGACGAAGCGAAGGUGACGGUACCUCCAGAAGAAGCCCCGGCCACCUACGUGCCAGCCGCCGCGGUAAUACGUAGGGGGCGAACGUUGUCCGGAUUUAUUGGGCGUAAAGAGCUCGUAGGCGGCUCAGCAAGUCGGCCGUGAGAACCCAGGGCUCAACCCUGGGAUGCCGGUCGAAACUGCUGUGGCUAGGGUCCGGUAGAGGAGAGUGGAAUUCCCGGUGUAGCGGUGAAAUGCGCAGAUAUCGGGAGGAACACCAGUAGCGAAGGCGGCUCUCUGGGCCGGUACCGACGCUGAGGAGCGAAAGCUAGGGGAGCAAAC
rnacentral:rRNA from 1 species